GUCUCUCCGGGCACCGCUGCUUCUCAGCUCCAUGACUCGGCGAGUGACCUCCCUCCUGUCGGCUUGGGAAGCCCUGCACCCGCGCGGUUGAAGGCACAGAGCCCACGCCUCUGCCGUGCCCAGGAGAUCAUCCUGGAGCCCCCUGGAGUUUCCCUAGGCUGUCACAGCUUCUGCAUGGUACCUCAAAUUCUCCCGCCAGACCCUUUCACCGAGAGGCCAGAGCAAAUGAGAGGUGGCACAGGAACACAGAGCACCUGUCCCAAUGACUCCAUGCUGUGUGACACUGGGCCAGCUUUGCUUGACCCAAGGCUGUGUCUCCCUGGAACAGGGAGCACAGCACCUGCCCGCGGGGAUGAGGCUGAGAGCUGGUAAGCCUGGCCAUCUGGAAGGUGUUUCAAGAAAACAAAAAGCCCUUCAGGGCAGUCACACAGGGUGGUUAUUUCACUUUAUUUAGCACACGUCGGUCUCACGCUGGGCCCCACCAAACUGCUCCCCUAAGCCUUACUCGAGGGUCUGCCUUGGGAGGCUCAGAGGUGAACAUGAAGGCCCAGGUUCCACAAUCACCUCCUCUUCUGCCACACAUGCAGCGCAGCACAGAAAUCACUGCUCGUGUCCUCAGGCACCACCCGUGUGGUCGGGGAGGGUCUCCAAUGUUCAAGGCCACCUACUGGGGCCCCAGCUCAGCUCCAGCCACAGGCCCACUGCUCUUGAGAUGCUGGCAAUGGGCAAGGGCCUCUGUCCAUGGCUGUGGGAACACCAAACCCUUACUCCCCAGCCCUACAGCCUGUCCCUGCUGGGCAAGAAGCAAUAUGUAUGAAAAUACUUUAAUUAUUUCUUUUAAACUGUUAAGAAAUAAGGUCAUCUUGUUUUUCUUUUACAAUCCCAGUAAAAAAAAAAAGUUCACAUUAGUGCAGGGGGCCAACACCAGGCCC